rnacentral:rRNA from 1 species
AUUGGACGCUGGCGGCAUGCCUUACACAUGCAAGUCGAACGGUAACAGGCCGCAAGGUGCUGACGAGUGGCGAACGGGUGAGUAAUGCAUCGGAACGUGCCCAGUCGUGGGGGAUAACUGCUCGAAAGAGCAGCUAAUACCGCAUACGACCUGAGGGUGAAAGCGGGGGACCGUAAGGCCUCGCGCGAUUGGAGCGGCCGAUGUCAGAUUAGCUAGUUGGUGGGGUAAAGGCCUACCAAGCCGACGAUCUGUAGUUGGUCUGAGAGGGCGACCAGCCACACUGGGACUGAGACACGGCCCAGACUCCUACGGGAGGCAGCAGUGGGGAAUUUUGGACAAUGGGCGCAAGCCUGAUCCAGCAAUGCCGCGUGCAGGAAGAAGGCCUUCGGGUUGUAAACUGCUUUUGUCAGGGAAGAAAUCCUCUGGGUUAAUACCCCGGGGGGAUGACGGUACCUGAAGAAUAAGCACCGGCUAACUACGUGCCAGCAGCCGCCGUAAAAC